AAGUGACCCCAGGUCAGGCGGGACUACCCGCUGAAUUUAAGCAUAUCAAUAAGCGGAGGA
rnacentral:rRNA from 2 species